rnacentral:rRNA from 1 species
UCGAGGGGCAGCACGGUGUAGCAAUACACUGGUGGCGACCGGCGCACGGGUGCGUAACGCGUAUGCAACCUACCCAUAACAGGGGGAUAACACUGAGAAAUUGGUACUAAUACCCCAUAACAUCAGGACCGGCAUCGGUUCUGGUUGAAAACUCCGGUGGUUAUGGAUGGGCAUGCGUUGUAUUAGCUGGUUGGUGAGGUAACGGCUCACCAAGGCAACGAUACAUAGGGGGACUGAGAGGAAGGUCCCCACAUUGGAACUGAGACACGGUCCAAACUCC